rnacentral:rRNA from 1 species
UACAUGUGGGGCAAGCGUUGUUCGGAAUUACUGGGCAUAAAGGGUGCGUAGGCGGCUUGCCAAGUCACUGGUGAAAGUUUUCGGCCCAACCGGAAAAUUGCCUGUGAUACUGGCGAACUUGAGUGCGUGAGGGGUGGGGGGAACGAGCAGUGCAGCGGUGAAAUGCGUAGAUAUUGCUCGGAAGGCCGGAGCCGAAGGGGCCCCACUGGUACGCAACUGACGCUGAGGCACGAAAGCGUGGGGAGCAAACAGG